GCCUGUACCUGACUGAUCAUGUAGUACCAGCUCUGACUUAACCCCAGCCAAAGGGCUGGGGCCUUGUAAGUAGCAACCUUUUGUAAGUAAUAUGUUGUUUGUUUUGUAUUAUCAUAAUUGUAGUAAAUUGACAUUCUGCUAGCAUCUGUUUAUUUGUUAUAGUUAUAUUAAAUAUACAUUUAAUAUUACAAUGUUUUGUGUAUUUUCUAUCCACAUAUUCGACCAUAAUACCAUGAAUUAUAAAAAUAUUAAUGUUGUUCCGUAUUGCUUAAUUAUUAUGUAUUAAGAGAUUAAUAUUCAUAUUUAGGUCACGACCACAACAGAUGGUGGGAGCAACAUGUCAUCAAUUCUGAUCAAUACAGUCAGUACCAUGGAUAUAUUCUAAAAUGGUAUAGACACAUUGAUGACUUUAAAAUAGCAAUGAUAUUAAGCUCAAAUUGACUUAUGACAUUGAUGAACACAAACUCAUUCUUGGAUC